rnacentral:rRNA from 1 species
CCUACGGGCGGCAGCAGUGGGGAAUAUUGCGCAAUGGGCGAAAGCCUGACGCAGCGACGCCGCGUGAGGGAUGAAGGUCUUCGGAUCGUAAACCUCUGUCAGCAGGGAAGAACGGUCACUGUGCUAAUCAGCAGUGAAUUGACGGUACCUGCAAAGGAAGCACCGGCUAACUCAGUGCCAGCAGCCGCGGUAAUACGGAGGGUGUGAGCGUUAAUCGGAAUUACUGGGCGUAAAGCGCUCGUAGGCGGUAUGUCAAGUCAAGGGUGAAAUCCCCGCGCUCAACGUGGGAACUGCCUUUGAAACUGGCAAACUGGAGUGUGUGAGAGGAUAGUGGAAUUCCAGGUGUAGGAGUGAAAGCCGUAGAUAUCUGGAGGAACAUCAGUGGCGAAGGCGACUAUCUGGCACAUAACUGACGCUGAGGAGCGAAAGCGUGGGUAGCAAACAGGAUUAGAUACCCUAGUAGUC